UUGUUUAUCAAAAACAUGUCUUUUAGAAAUUAAUUUAAAGUCUAACCUGCCCKCUGAUUUUAUAUUUAAGGGCCGCAGUAUUUUGACUGUGCAAAGGUAGCAUAAUCAUUUGUCUUUUAAUUGAAGGCUGGAAUGAAUGGUUGAAUGAAGUAUUAACUGUCUCAUUUUUAUAAAUUAAGAAUUUAGCUUUUAAAUAAAAAGGUUUAAAUAAAAUUAAAAGACGAGAAGACCCUAUAGAUUUUUAUAUUGAAUUAAUUAAUAAUAAUAAGAAAUUAAUUUUAUUAUUAUUUAAUUUAAUAUUUGAUUGGGGUGAUUAAAAAAUUAAAAAAACUUUUUGUUUAUUAAACAUAAAUUAAUGAAUAAUUGAUCCAAUUUUAUUGAUUAAAAGAUUAAAUUACCUUAGGGAUAACAGCGUAAUUUUUUUAGAGAGUUCAUAUCGAUAAAAAAGAUUGCGACCUCGAUGUUGAAUUAAAGGUUAUUUUUAAAUGUAGUAGUUUAAAGUUUAAGUCUGUUCGACUUUUGAAUCUUUACAUGAUCUGAGUUAAACCGG
rnacentral:rRNA from 1 species